CGUCCUCGUUUCCGACUUGUUCCUUCGUGCCACGUUUUCACCAUCUACGAGAUAUCGUUUUAAUCAAAGAUUGUGUUUUGUGCAUCUCAUCCUGUAUCGACAUAUACAGAGAUAUGGACAAAGCAAAAUCAAUAGUAUUGUUGGGAAAGCCUUCAUGCAUUUGCCAAGGUAGCUAUUCAUUCAGGAGUAUUAAUCUCAUAAAAUGGAUAAUGACGAGAAUCGUGCAAUUCACGGAGACAUGAGACAUCCAAAUCAACGGUUGAAGGUAAGUAUGCAGAAAAUAAUUUUCAUUUUAAAAAUAAAAUAUGCUCACAUAUUUUGUUUAUACAUGGAGUAAAUUUUAUAUUAAUAUGUAAUACAAUUUUAUAUCACUUUUUACUAUUUUUUGCAUGAUCAAUG